CCUACGGGGCGCAGCAGUGAGGAAUAUUGGUCAAUGGGCGGGAGCCUGAACCAGCCAAGCCGCGUGAGGGAAGAAGGUACAGCGUAUCGUAAACCUCUUUUGUCAGGGAACAAAGGCGGGGACUAGUCCCCGGAUGAGUGUACCUGAAGAACAAGCAUCGGCUCACUCCGUGCCAGCAGCCGCGGUAAUACGUAGGAUGCGAGUGUUGUCCGGUUUUAUGGGGUUAAAAGGGUGCACAGGAGGCCUGUUAAGUCAGCGGUAAAAGCCCGGGGCGCAACCACGGCGAGCCGUUGAAACUGGGAGGCUGGAGUUGGAGAGAAGUACGCGGAAUGCGCGGUGUAGCGGUGAAAUGCUUAGAUAUCGCGCAGAACCCCGAUUGCGAAGGCAGCGUACCGGAUCCAAACUGACGCUGAGGCACGAAAGCGUGGGUAUCGAACAGGAUUAGAUACCCGGGUAGUC
rnacentral:rRNA from 1 species